rnacentral:lncRNA from 1 species
AGCACCACCUGAAGCAGGCGGCCUUUCGAUAUCUCUUGCUGGAGGACAGGGACAGGUUGUGGGUGGACGUGUGGUGGGGCCUUUGAUGGCUUCAAGUCUUGUGGUUUUGAUGGCUGCCUCCUUUGCAAAUGCAAUGUAUGAUCGGUUACCAGUGGAGGAGGAUCGGGAGUCAGUACCAGCAGUAGAGGUGCAGCAGCAGCAGCGGCCAGCAGCCUCACAAUCUUCGGGAGUGGCUGGAUCAGGUGGAGGACAAGUUGGUGGUGGCGGAAACGACGGCAGUAGUGGUGGUGGAGGUGUACCCUUUUAUAAUCUGGGAGUGAACGGUAUGGGAAGCUACCCUUUUGCCGGUCAUGGCGAAGGAGAUCAUAUGUUUAGUAGUGCAGCAGGUCUACAUUUUAAAUGAGCAUAUGCCGCUAGCUAGCUACUGGUGUCAAUAAUGAAUAUCCCAAUUUAAAGAUCUGAUUAAUUGUUGUCUUCCCGUAUUAAUUUCAAGAAUUAGACAAGGAUAUUGGUGCUAAAUCAGUAUUUCUUCAAGAUCAAGAAGAAGAAGAGUGCAGGAAAUUCUGUGUCGUUUCUGUGUCUUUCAGUAUUAAUUCAAGAAUUAAAUAAGCUUGGAGCCUCUUGUGUUUUUUAUGUAGUGACUUGUAGCUUCUUAUAUACUCAUAAAUCAUGGAACGUUCAGGAAAGCGAUCGCACAACAUCGUGAAAGUAUUUUAAAAUCGUUUUAUGUAGCUGCUAAUGAUGAAGAGUCAUGUCAACUUAAAAUAGAUAAUUGUAGAAAACAGGCGACAAGAGAAUUGAAAAUUGAAAAUUGAUGGGCUUGGGUUUGAACCUAUUUCGUCUCCUCUUGGGCCCAGUUUUGGUACCCUUUUAUUCUCCCAUAUGGACUCGGUUUUGGGCUCUGUUUCUUACCUCCUUGGUUGGGCGUUUUUCUUGUAUAUUUCGUCUCCUCUUGGGCUUUCUUUCUAAUUGCCACCACAAGAAAAAUCCGGGUGUUAUUAUGUCCCCUCUCAAAUAUGUGGGGUUAAAUAAUUUGGAUCCUUGUGAUAAAAGUAGGGAUCGAACUCACUAACACGAAUCAAGAGGCUAUGGGCCACUCGCUAAAAAGCUACUGGUCUCACAUGCAUUAUUAAUUUUUUUUCAUUUAAUAAUAAGCGAGUAUUUUCAUAUUAAUUUGUGACAAUAAUUGAGAGUUAAAUUUAUUUUGAACAAUAUUUAAAAAAAAAACAUCCUUCUUGAAGCUAUUAACAAUAGCAACUGACAAUGGAAAUUAUUGUUACUCUCCCUAUAAAAUACAGUUUAUUAGAACAAUAUUUUUUUUUUAAUUUUUUUUAAUAUUAAAUUUAUUAGAGAUUAAACAUUAUAAUUUAUUUUGGAUUAUUUUUCAUGAGAUUAUCAUAGUCUUAUGACCAGAGUUACGAGUUUUGCGAGUUAACUUUAUUAACUUAAGUUUUAUUUAAUUUUUUUUUCAAUUUCAUUGUUCGCCAUUUGAGUUGAUUGAGAGUUAAACUUCAUAAUUUAUUUUGCAUUGCUUUUUAUGAGGCUAUCACAAUCUCAUGAAUCGAGUCAAGGGUUUGACAAGUUAAACUAAGUUGACCCGAGUCUUAUUUUUUGUCUUUUAUUAAUUGAUUUUUUUUUUAAUUUUAUCAUUGAAUGUUGGAUUGAUUAUGAAUUGAGUUUCAUGAUUUGUUUUGAUUUAUUUUCUAUGUGGUUAUCACGGUUUCAUGAUCGAAGGUUGUCAGAAUAACUCAGCUGGUUGACUAAGGUUUUUUGGUCAUUUUUUAAUUAAUGUUUUUCAAUCUUUUUUUUUUUAACAUUGAGUUUCAAUGUUUUUUUUUUAAUUUGUUUUUUAUAAAAUUAUUAUGGUCUCAAGAUCUUGGUAAUGAAUUUUACAUAUUAACCUAAGUUGAUCCGAGUUAAUCCAAUAUAUUAUCAUCUCAAUAUUUUUCUUAAAUCAUUUUGAUUUUUUUUCUAGUCAAAUUAUAUUUUUCUUUGAUUGUUCAAGAUAUAUAUAGACUUGUUAAGUUGAUUGAGUUACAUCAAAUCAAUUUCUAUAUUAUUUAAAUUUUUUUUCAAAAACACAUUAAUAAUACAUGAAUAAUUUUUUGAACUUAAAAUAAUAAUCGGACCCGUAUGAUAGCACUAAUUGAAUUAGUACUCUCGUUUCUUUAAGCAUCAAGUUAUUAAUAGUCACGGGCAAUAUAUAGUUAUUCUAGCUCGUUAAACUACAUAGGUUUGCACAAGAUGCCAAAAUUACUUGUCUUUAGUUUUUAGUUGCAUUGCAAUACAAAGGUUGACCCAAGCGUACAAUGUUAGUUUCUUUUUUUUUUUUUUUUAGUUUAAUGUAGGUGUUAAGGCUCGAACCUGAAACCACAGAGGGAGCAAACUUCUUGAUCCCAAACUCUUACCACUAGCCACCAUAAUUUCUUAAUUCUUACAUUACACUCAAUUAAUAAUAUAUUGGUGGCUAAAUUUAAUGACAUGGUGUCAUUACCGGCACCCCACCUAUGCGGUGGGUGGGGUGUACUUUUCGUGAAUCUUGUUUUUAUAUUUUAAAAAUAAUUAAUUUUUUUAUAUUUUAAAUUAAUUUUUUAAUUUUUUCUUAUAAUUUUAAUAUAAUAAUAUUAAAAAAAAUUAUUUUUUUAUUUUAAUAUAUUAAAAUAUUAAUAUUUCAAAAAACAACCACUAUUGUAAUUCAAUAAAUUUAUUAUUUUCUCCUACAACAGUUUAUGACGCGGGUUUAUGCCAGGUGUCACGCUGUAUAUGCGGUGCGUGUCACGCCGUAUAUGCGGAGCGUGUGGUCGGCCGCAUUAGCGUCAUUUGAUUAAAACACCACCCACCCCUUGGUCUAAUAAAGACAGCACAAAAUGCAUUAAGGUCAUCGAUGGAAAUGUCCUUUAUAUCCAGACCUUGACAUGCAAUUCAAUUGAUCUCUAGUCUUUUUCCUUUUUGUAUUUAUUGGAGAUACCGACUUCGGUAAAGAUCCUCUCUACUUCUGCUCCUUCAAAUUGUUUCAAGUGACAACUUGGGUGAUUUUAGUAUUUUUAAUGAAAUAAUAAAAAAUUGAGGCUUGAGUUAGUGAUUUCAGGGUUAAUUUAAUACCAUCAUUAAAAAAAACAAUGAAAUUAGAUAAAUUAAACAAAAAAAAAAUACAGCAAUAAUUAAUUAUAAAAAAUAAACAAGAAGAUAUCAGUAUUCUUAAAAGUUCUUUAUGAUCUUAUCAAAGCAAAAACUAAAUGAGAGUGAUAAUUUCAUAGUAAGCAAAAUGAAAAAUAAGAUUUGAAACUUAAUUUUUAAUAAAUCAAAUAUUGAAGGAUAAAAUUAAAAAAAACCCGAUCCAAGUUAGUCCGCCAAAUUUAAAAAUCAAGGUGAUGAGAGAAAAAAAAAAAAGCUCGUUGGCGUUAAAUCAAAGAGCGGUAAACUACAUGCACUAUCUAGGAGGGAAGACUUACUAGAUGAUUCCAAAAACAUCAAAGGACAUCUUUUUUUGCCAUUGUAAUCCGUUGCAUGCGCCUAUCAAUUUUUUUUUAUAUCAUAUAUUUAUUAAAAUAUCAAAUUAACCCAUAGUCAACUUGAUUAAUUAUAACUAAAAAACCAAUGGACCUUACAAAAAAUACAAAAAAAUUAUUGGAUGCCAGUUAAACAAAAAUACAUUUUCAAAGGUAAUUUAGAUAUUUUAUAGUGUUUUUAAAAUAUAAAAAAUUUAUUUCAUAAUAAAUUUGAUAAUAACUAAUAAAACUCGUGAAAAGAUAAUAUUAUCUCAAUAGCUAGAAUAACUAGUUUAUUGGUUUUCUAAGAGUAAAAUAUUCAGUACAAUGUUCAAAUGAACAAUAAAUCCUCGUGUAAAGUACAGUGUUUUCCUCUCUCCUAUUAGCCUUUGGUAAUUAUUUGGAUAGCUGUUGUGUCCACUUCCUUCGAGAUCUAUAAGAAUAACCUUCUCACAAUUGUCAUUUUCCAUCUCCACACAUCUAUAUGGACUAUACCCUUGUGUUUGUUUUUGGGAAUAAUCCUCUUGGUAAACGUCCAGUCCACAAAAAGUUAAUUAAGGCAGCAUGCUAGCUUCUUCUUGGUAAACACUUCCAGCUUUUGUCCUCUUACAUUUGGAACGCCAACAUACUUCCAAGAGCAAGCUUCCUACGUACUUCUUACUUGUACCUGCUCCUCCCCCCCCCUUCAAGAUUGAUUCUCCUAUAAGUGUCAAGCAUCAAAGCUAACCUUCCUAACUUGAAAGGAAAAGCAAGAAAGUCUCUCCAAAAUUAGCUCAAGCCGAGAUGAGUUCCAUGACACCAUUGUUAAAACCAGAUGUGACCUUAUCUCUUACGUUGUCACCCAGCUCCCCUUCUCCUCAUGACCAAACUCUAAAGCCUGAAGAAAGAGGUAUACGUCUUAUCCAACUCCUUCUAAAAUGUGCAAAACAUGCAUCCUCGGGCAAUCUUCAUCGAGCCGAUGCGUGUCUUUUGGAGAUAUCGGUGCUUUCAUCGAUUUUGGGUGAUUGCAUGCAAAGGCUGGCUGCUCGUUUUGCCUCCGCCCUUGCCAUUCGCCUUGUCAAGCGUUGGCCCGGCAUACACAAGGCGCUGAACCAAGCCCAACAACCCAAAGUCGACCUUGAUAGGGCCAAGCUCCUCUUUACCAGAACCUUCCCUUACCUUAGUUUCGCUUAUGCCAUCAUAGCCAAAACCUUACUCCAUGCCAUGGCAAACGAGCGUGUGAUUCACAUCGUAGAUUUGGGCUCCGGUGACUCGAACUUGUGGGUCGCACUUCUCCGUGGUUUCGCCAACUCACCACAUGGGCCUCCACAUUUGAAGAUCACCUGUGUUAAUGGCAGCAAAGCUAUUCUUGAGAAGUUAGGUCAAAGGCUUGUCAAAGAAGCAGAAAGCGUGGGCGUACCCUUUCAAUUUAAUUCUAUAAACGCGAGCUUGAGAGAGUUAACAAAAGACAUGUUUAAGGCUGGAUCAGGAGAAGCGCUAGCUUUCGUAUCAAUAUUAAAUCUUCACGUUUUAUUAUCUGAAGAUGACCAAGUGGUUGCACAUUUUGGGGUUAACAAGAACGACGGCAUUAAAGAUUGCAAGCAAAUUGGUGAUUUUCUAGCGAUGAUUCGGUCAAUGUCACCUACGUUAUUAUUUGUAGUAGAGCAAGAAGCGGACCACAAUUUGAAUCGAUUGGUGGACCGAUUUGUAGAGGGAUUGAAUUAUUACAGCGCAGUGUUUGACUCGAUAGACGCCACUUUGGCGAGUAAUCUGGCUAGUGAUGAAAGGCUUGUUUUAGAGGAAAUGUUUGGAAGAGAGAUCGAGAAUAUUGUAGCCUGUGAGGGGUUGGAAAGGAUUGAGAGACAUGAGAGGUAUGCAAGGUGGGUAGUUAGGCUUGCACAAGCAGGGUUUAAGCCAGUUCGGUUCUGGCAUAGUUCAGGCGAGGAUGCUAAGCAAAUUAUGGAUGCCUUCGGAAAGAAUGGGUACAAGACUGUUAUUGAGAGAACAGGUUUGAUGAUUUGUUGGCGUGAACGACCACUAUAUGCUCUUACUGCUUGGACCUGUUAGCGUUGUACAUUUGGGUAUUCCUUUUCACUGUCGGAGUAUAUUUGUAAUUGCAUAAAUACUAUAAAUAUAUGGGUGUGCUGAUGUGGGUUUAGUAGGAACAGACGCACAACACUUUUAUCCUCCUAUUUCUUUCUCUUCGUCCAGGCGGCCUUUCGAUCUCUUGCUGGAGGACAGGGGCAGGUUGUGGGUGGACGUGUCGCGGGGCCCUUGAUGGCUUAAAGUCUUGCGGUUUUGAUUGGCUGCGUCCUUUGCAAUUAAUGCAGUGUAUGAUCGGUUACCACUGGAGGAGCUGGAUCGGGAGUCAGUACCAGCACUAGAGGUGCAGCAGCAGCAGCGGCCAGAACCUCACAAUCGUCGGGAGUGGCUGGAUCAGGUGGAGGACAAGUUGGUGGUGGCAG